rnacentral:rRNA from 1 species
UGGGGAAUAUUGGACAAUGGGGGCAACCCUGAUCCAGCAAUGCCGCGUGUGUGAAGAAGGUCUUCGGAUUGUAAAGCACUUUCGGCGGGGACGAUGAUGACGGUACCCGUAGAAGAAGCCCCGGCUAACUUCGUGCCAGCAGCCGCGGUAAUACGAAGGGGGCUAGCGUUGCUCGGAAUGACUGGGCGUAAAGGGCGUGUAGGCGGUUUACACAGUCAGAUGUGAAAUCCCCGGGCUUAACCUGGGAGCUGCAUUUGAUACGUGUAGACUAGAGUGGGAGAGAGGGUUGUGGAAUU